GCCAUCGUUCAAGACAUGAUUGUUCUAACAAUGUACAAUCGAUGGGUUUGGUGAAGCUAUACUGUCCGAUGGGAGAUCCCCUUUGCUUGGUAGUAGUUUGAGCUCUGAAGGACCAGAAACUAUGUGAGAUUGGCAAGAUCACCGGUGGCUUUUGCUCAGGAUUCCUCCAAAGAAUGGAGUUGUGAAGGUAGAUUCGUUCUUUUUAUCUAUAUCUAGUCUCAAAGGAGGGUUAUGAAAAGCCAGUUAUAACGCUGUUCAUGGUCGUACGUAAAUUACGGCUAAGACUCCUAAGUCCUAAGACCAGGUUCGCUGCCAGUCCCACAUCAGAGAAGAGCAACAUAUAUCUAUCUCGAGGGUUACAAAAGAGAGAAACUCAAGUCUGUAAAACUCACGGAGCCAUGUGUUGAGCACAAAGCGAACUAUUCUUUCGCCUUUUACUAAAGAAUACCGUGUGCGCGGCGCUUUAAAUGGCAUACGCCUAUUUUUGAAAGGGCGCACCUCUGUGGGUGCCCCUCAAAUUUUAGUUUACAAAUUUUUGUUAACAGGUUCUCCAUAAUAAUCUAUAAUCUUCCAUUUUCCAGUUGUUUCAUUAUGUUCUUAAUCGCACCAGGUUCUUCUGUUGCAUUAAAUCUUACAACCACUAUGCGCACCUUGCUGCAGCACAAGUGGGCAGUACAUGAAGUUUGAAGAUCUCUGAGAAACUUCCAUCAGCCGAAGGUAGUGUCACAACAUCAGAGACAAUCCCAGUUCAAGAGCUCCAUAAUAAGGUCCAGGGCUCCAUGUUCUUCGGCUAAGGUCCUGCUGCUACCACUCUUGGUGGAUAUGGCUGAUGUUUUUAACUAAUUGACUCUCGUAGACGUAGGACAACAACCCCAGCUUUCAUGUGAAAUAGAGCGGUUUAGACAUUUAGGGGUAUUUGUGAAAUAGAGCUGCUUAUGAGAAGCAAAUAGUUUUCUUUUGUAUCAUGCAUACAGCAGGUUGCAGAAUCAAAACCCAGUUUAAAGUAUGGAUCAUGUAAAGUAUGAAAACCUCUAGGCCAUAAUCGAUAGAGGUUUUUGAAUGUGUAGAGUAUGAAGUUGAAGGCUUGAAGCACAGGAAGUUUGUUCCAGAAUGUCCAAGUGCAAACAAUAGAAUUUAACUGGGAACUGAUAGGAUUCUUCUGUAUAUACACCCACCUUGUAAAUAAAAUGGCCUAGGUGGAAACUCAACUCCUCCCGAGUGAUGAAAGAAUUGAAGUUGAAUGAAACUGCCGUGACGUCUUUCACUAUUCGUCGACGAGCUGAAAACCUUCAACACCCAUGAGAUUUGCUAAUGACAUAUCAACUCCUCCCACGUGAAGUAAGAAUUGAAGUUGAAUGAAACUGCCGUGACGGCUUUCACUAUUUGUAGACCAGCUGCCAACUUUCAACACCCAUGAAAUUUGCUAAUGUUCUUUAACUAUGACAUGCUAACGUUCCUGCAUAUAUAAAA
rnacentral:lncRNA from 1 species